rnacentral:rRNA from 1 species
CCUACGGGAGGCAGCAGUGAGGAAUAUUGGUCAAUGGACGCGACUCUGAACCAGCCAAGUAGCGUGCAGGAUGACUGCCCUAUGGGUUGUAAACUUCUUUUAUACAGGAAUAAACUGAGUCACGUGUGGCUUAUUGCAUGUACCGUAUGAAUAAGGAUCGGCUAAUUCCGUGCCAGCAGCCGCGGUAAUACGGAAGAUCCGAGCGUUAUCCGGAUUUAUUGGGUUUAAAGGGAGCGUAGGUCGGCUGUUAAGUGAGUUGUGAAAGUUUGCGGCUCAACCGUAAAAUUGCAAUUGAUACUGGCAGUCUUGAGUGCGGUUGAGGUAGGCGGAAUUCGUGGUGUAGCGGUGAAAUGCUUAGAUAUCACGAAGAACUCCGAUUGCGAAGGCAGCUUACUAUACUGCCACUGACGUUGAUGCUCGAAGGUGUGGGUAUCAAACAGGAUUAGAUACCCGAGUAGUC